AGAGGGUGCAAGCGUUAAUCGGAAUUACUGGGCGUAAAGGGCACGUAGGUGGAUAAUUAAGUUGGCUGUGAAAUUCCCGGGCUUAACCUGGGCAGGUCAGCCAAAACUGGUUAUCUAGAGUACAGUAGAGGGAAGUGGAAUUUCCGGUGUAGCGGUGAAAUGCGUAGAUAUCGGAAGGAACAUCAGUGGCGAAGGCGACUUUCUGGACUGAUACUGACACUGAGGUGCGAAAGCGUGGGGAGCGAACAGGGAUUAGAUACCCUGGUAGUCCACGCCGUAAACGAUGAGAACUAGCUGUUGGUGAUAUAAAAACUCAUUAGUGGCGCAGCUAACGCGUUAAGUUCUCCGCCUGGGAGUACGGCCGCAAGGUUA
rnacentral:rRNA from 1 species